UUUUCGGUCAGCACACCAUUUGGGGGGGGGGGAGAGCGUGGAAGAGGAGGAAGAAGAAGAAGAAGGAUCAAGAGAUCUAAAGCUUCAUAGAUUAUCCUAGUGGAUGGAAGAAUAAGGAAUUCAUGUCCAAGUGAUUCGAAGUAAGAAAACUUAAGUUUGAAGGUUAGGGCCUUUGGUUACAACGGAAGAUAAAUUAGAGGUUUGGUUAAGUAACCUUGAAGAUUGGAAGGAAUAAAAAGCAAGAAUUAGAAGGUGGAAAGCUAACAAGAACAAGAAGGAAGAAGAAUUCAAAAAAUUAAGCAAGUAGUGUUAGAUUGCCAAGUUGGAGACUUUUCUGUUCUAAAUCACAUGUAAAUUCAUGUGAGUUAGGCAAAUUCACUCAAAAACAAUAAUAUACAUCUUUGAUAUGUCUAGACUGAUAAAGCAUGAGUUGAAGCUUUAGAAACUAUUGGAGCUAUGAUUUAAGCAUGUAAGUAUCAUAUUGUCCUAGUGCAGGAUUUUUUGGA